AACACAUUGUGUCAUUUAUACACUUAUUAUUUUGUACACAUUAUUAAGGACAAGUGGUAGAAAGUAAAUUAUUAUUAAUAAUAAUAAUAAUAAUAAUAUAUUUUAUUUGUAAAAAGCACUUUACAUUGAGCAAACAACCUCAAAGUGCUACAGUGCAUUAAAAAAAAAAAAAAAAAAGAUAAUAAAAGAUAAUAAAAAUAAAAACUAGAACAACCAAAUAGCUAAAACUAAUAUGCAUAUAUCUAAAAAAAAAAGGCUUUUUUAAAAAGAAGGGUUUUUAAGCCUUUUUUAAAAGCAUCCACAGUCUGUGGUGCCCUCAGGUGGUCAGGUCUUUUAGUAGUAAGUAAACAAACAAAGACUCCUAAUUAGUCUGCUGACGUGUGCAGUAACAUAUUGUGUCAUUUAUACACCUAUUAUUUUGUACACAUUAUUAAGGACAAGUGGUAGAAAGUAAAUUAUUAUUAAUAAUAAUAAUAAUAUAUUUUAUUUGUAAAAAGCACUUUACAUUGAGCAAACAACCUCAAAGUGCUACAGUGCAUUAAAAAAAAAAAAAAGAUAAUAAAAGAUAAUAAAAAUAAAAACUAGAACAGCCAAAUAGCUAAAACUAAUAUGCAUAUAUCUAAAAAAAGGCUUUUUUUAAAAGAAGGGUUUUUAAGCCUUUUUUAAAAGCAUCCACAGUCUGUGGUGCCCUCAGGUGGUCAGGUCUUUUAGUAGUAAGUAAACAAACAAAGACUCCUAAUUAGUCUGCUGACGUAUGCAGUAACAUAUUGUGUCAUUUAUACACCUAUUUUUUUGUACACAUUAUUAAGGACAAGUGGUAGAAAGUAAAUUAUUAUUAAUAAUAAUAAUAAUAAUGUAUUUUAUUUGUAAAACGCACUUUACAUUGAGCAAACAACCUCAAAGUGCUACAGUGCAUUAAAAAAAAUAAAAAUAAAAAGAUAAUAAAAGAUAAUAAAAAUAAAAACUGGAACAGCCAAAUAGCUAAAACUAAUAUGCAUAUAUCUAAAAAAAAGUUUUUUUUUUAAAGAAGGGUUUUUAAGCCUUUUUUAAAAGCAUCCACAGUCUGUGGUGCCCUCAGGUGGUCAGGUCUUUUAGUAGUAAGUAAACAAACAAAGACUCCUAAUUAGUCGUAUGCAGUAACAUAUUGUGUCAUUUAUACACCUAUUAUUUUGUACACAUUAUUAAGGACAAGUGGUAGAAAGUGAAUUUAUAUUAAUAAUAAUAAUAAUAAUAUAUUUUAUUUGUAAAAAGCACUUUACAUUGAGUAAACAACCUCAAAGUGCUACAGUGCAUUAAAAAAAUAAAAUAAAAAGAUAAUAAAAGAUAAUAAAAAUAAAAACUAGAACAGCCAAAUAGCUAAAACUAAUAUGCAUAUAUCUAAAAAAAAGGCUUUUUUUAAAAAGAAGGGUUUUUAAGCCUUUUUUAAAAGCAUUCACAGUCUGUGGUGCCCUCAGGUGGUCAGGUCUUUUAGUAGUAAGUAAACAAACAAAGACUCCCAAUUUGUGUGCUGACGUAUGCAGUAACAUAUUGUGUCAUUUAUACACCUAUUAUUUUGUACACAUUAUUAAGGACAAGUGGUAGAAAGUAAAUUAUUAUUAAUAAUAAUAAUAAUAAUAAUAUAUUUUAUUUGUAAAAAGCACUUUACAUUGAGCAAACAACCUCAAAGUGCUACAGUGCAUUAAAAAAAUAAAAAGAUAAUAAAAGAUAAUAAAAAUAAAAACUAGAACAGCCAAAUAGCUAAAACUAAUAUGCAUAUAUCUAAAAAAAAAAGGCUUUUUUAAAAAGAAGGGUUUUUAAGCCUUUUUUAAAAGCAUCCACAGUCUGUGGUGCCCUCAGGUGGUCAGGUCUUUUAGUAGUAAGUAAACAAACAAAGACUCCUAAUUAGUCUGCUGACGUAUGCAGUAACAUAUUGUGUCAUUUAUACACCUAUUAUUUUGUACACAUUAUUAAGGACAAGUGGUAGAAAGUAAAUUAUUAUUAAUAAUAAUAAUAAUAUAUUUUAUUUGUAAAAAGCACUUUACAUUGAGCAAACAACCUCAAAGUGCUACAGUGCAUUAAAAAAAAUAAAAAUAAAAAGAUAAUAAAA